rnacentral:misc_RNA from 1 species
UGUGGGAGCGAGCCUGCUCGCGAUGACGGCGGUACAUUCAGCAUCGAUGCAAGCUGAACCACCGCUAUCGCGAGCAGGCUCGCUCCCACA